CAGCACCUCAAGUGGUCAGGAUGAUUAUUGGGCCUAAAGCAUCCGUAGCCUGCUUUGUAAGUUUUCGGUUAAAUCCAUACGCUCAACGUAUGGGCUGCCGGGAAUACUGCAAAGCUAGGGAGUGGGAGAGGUAGACGGUACUCGGUAGGAAGGGGUAAAAUCCUUUGAUCUAUUGAUGACCACCUGUGGCGAAGGCGGUCUACCAGAACACGUCCGACGGUGAGGGAUGAAAGCUGGGGGAGCAAAUCGGAUUAGAGACCCCCGUAGUCC
rnacentral:rRNA from 1 species